ensembl:lncRNA
CUUAUGUAAUACAUGUAUCACUAGCCACUUUAACUACGCCACUUGGUUUACAUACUCAUCUCAUAUGUAUAUACUGUACUCGAUAUCAUCUACUGUAUCUUGCCUAUGCUGCUCUGUACCAUCACUCAUUCAUAUAUCCUUAUGUACAUAUUCUUUAUCCCCUUACACUGUGUAUGAGACAGUUUUUUUGGAAUUGUUAGUUAGAUUACUUGUUGGUUAUUACUGCAUUGUCGGAACUAGAAGCACAAGCAUUUCGCUACACUCGCAUUAACAUCUGCUAACCAUGUGUAUGUGACAAAUAAAAUUUGAUUUGAUUUGAUUUGAACACAACAUAUAAUUAGUGAGCAUUUCUCCUUUGCCAAGAUAAUCCAUCCACCAGACAGGUGUGGCAUAUGGAGUAUUUCUGUCUGUAAUAAAGCAAUUUUUGGGGGGAAAAACUCAUUAUGGAUUGGCUGGGCAUGGCUCCCCAGUGGCUGGGCCUGGCUCCCCAGUGGGUGGGCCUAUGCCCCCCCAAGGCCCACCCAUGGCUUCACCCCUGCCCAGUUAAAUGAAAUCCAAAGAUUAGGGCCUUCAUUUCCAUUGACAAUAUUCCUUCCAUGAACUGUAACUCAGUAAAAUAUUUGAAAUGGUUGCGUUUAUAUGAUGAUGCGUUCACAUUUUAGUUCAGUGUACAGAGACAUAGAUAUAGGUAGAGUAGAUUCACAGGUUAUGAUGAAGACAGAGGGGGUAGAGUAGACUCACAGGUUAUGAUGAAGACAUAGAUAUAGGUAGAGUAGACUCACAGGUUAUGAUGAAGACAGAGGGUGAGAGUAGACUCACAGGUUAUGAUGAAGACAGAGGGGGUAGAGUAGACUCACAGGUUAUGAUGAAGACAUAGAUAUAGGUAGAGUAGAUUCACAGGUUAUGAUGAAGACAGAGGGGGUAGAGUAGAUUCACAGGUUAUGAUGAAGACAUAGAUAUAGGUAGAGUAGAUUCACAGGUUAUGAUGAAGACAUAGAUAUAGGUAGAGUAGAUUCACAGGUUAUGAUGAAGACAUAGGGGGUAGAGUAGAUUCACAGGUUAUGAUGAAGACGUGUAGAUUCACUGGUUAUGAUGAUGAAGAUGAGUAGAGCGUACAGAGACCGGUGGAAAGGUAUGGAUUGCAGUUUUGGGGUCACGAUUCGGUUUUGGUAUAGGGGGAAAAUGAACAGUUUGGCUUCGGCAGUUAACUUCUGUUAACGAAAUAAGAUACACGUUGGUACUUCUGAUUCCAUAUCCACCAUAACAGGCCUGAUGAGAGCACCAUCUUCUGAAAUGAAAACACCACGACUCAUCAACACUAGGAGAAAGUGACAUGUGCAAUCAAUAUGGAAACAUGGCUCAGACAUGGAAAAGACCUGUUUUCUUACGAAGACAAACAUAUGCGCACUUGUGUGACUCAAAGGGGGUGUGUCUAUGGCACUGUAGUUCUUUCCCAGUCCGGGGUCAUGUGAUGGGCUGUCACUUAACAGUCCGGGGUCAUGUGAUUGGCUGUCACUUAAUAGUCCGGGGUCAUGUGAUGGGCCGUCACUGUGAAGUAACUGUGUAACCCUGGAGAUCCAUCCAUCUGUAGGCAGCCCAACACAGGCUGGAUUGGCCAAUUCAUUGUCAACUUCAGCUUUAACUAGCUUAUAUAUGGGUAGCCUGUAUACUGAAAUGAGUGAGAGAGUGAAGAGCCUAAUGUGGCUAGAACACUUUCACAAAGUGCAGAAACG